ACAAUUUGGACGUUAUUAGUUCCUGGAUAAUUUAAUUCUUGAACUUGUUUUAUUGAAUUCUUAUAUCAUUGUCAUCAUCCUCAUGUUUAUAUUUUGUUGAAAGUCAUCUGUGACCUGUAGUGCAUAGAUGGACUUGUUAUGAUUAUAACCAGGGAUUAUUCGGUAUAAUCAUAACCGUAAUGUUAUAAAUGAUGUGGAAAAAGUCCUCAUUGACCCGUAGUGCAUUGAUGGACAGUUUUUGG
rnacentral:lncRNA from 1 species